CCCGUCACAUCACGAAAGUGGGCUGUACUAGAAAUCGCCGUGCCAACCGCAAGGAGGCAGGCGCUCAAGGUAUGACUCAUGAUUGGGGUG
rnacentral:rRNA from 1 species